GACGAACGCUGGCGGCGUGCUUAACACAUGCAAGUCGAACGGAAAGGCCUGCUUUCCCUUGUGGAUUGCGGGUACUCGAGUGGCGAACGGGUGAGUAACACGUGAGUGAUCUGCCCCCAACUUGGGUAUAAGCCUGGGAAACUGGGUCUAAUUCCCGAUAGGACUGCAGGGUGGUGCCUGUGGUGGAAAACGAUUUUCUAGUGGUUGGGGAUGAGCUCGCGGCCUAUCAGCUUGUUGGUGGGGUAAUGGCCUACCAAGGCGGCGACGGGUAGCCGGCCUGAGAGGGUGGACGGCCACAUUGGGACUGGGAUACGACCCAGACUGCUGCGGGAGGCAGCGGUGGGGAAUAUUGCGCAAUGGGCGGAAGCCUGAUGCAGCGACGCCGCGUGGGGGAUGACGGCCUUCGGGUUGUAAACUCCUUUCGACCGAGAGGAAGCCACCUGGUUGGAAGGGUGGUGACGGUAGUGGUAGAAGAAGCACCGGCUAACUACGUG
rnacentral:rRNA from 1 species